rnacentral:tRNA from 1 species
GGAGAGAUGGCUCAGUGGUUAAGAGCACUGACUGAUGUCCCAGAGGACCCGGGUUCCAUUCCCAGCUUCUGCA